CAACGGCUAAAAGAAAAACACGUACAUUGCAGUGGUAAGAAUGGUAGAGGAACACUACUCUUUCUCGGACUCCUACCCUAUAUAAAGAAUCGCUAGGGCACCUCCAUCACUCGUCUUCCAUCACAACACCAGAAACCAAAACCCUAACAACCUUUCUUCUCUCUCUUCAUUUCACCAUAGCCGAUUCUUAAUCAUCAGUCUUCUCCGAUUCGAUCAGGUAGCUUUGCGGGUUCAUCUGCUAUUUGCAGA